CGGGCGAGGGCGCUGAGGCGCGGCCGGGGCUGCCGACGGAGGGCGGCUGGCGAGCGUCGUGGGGCGCGCUCCUCGGUUGGGAGCAUAGAAGUAGAGGAAGCGCACAGGUGGCUGAGCAUACAAACUGAAGAAAAAAUUGAAAUGCCAUUUUAAAAACUUGAAAGCUUUGAAGAAACCACUGAGAAGAAAUGAAGAAUCUGCCAAGCUGCUCUUGUUUUGUAAAAAAUAUGUAGUCUGGCUACUAGGGGAGGAGUUACACCCACCCUCUUCUGCUGCCAGCUCUGUGACAAAGAGAAAGCUGUAAGUUAUUCUCCAGCCUGCUGAAGAGUUUUGCAUAGUCCCCAGAAGCCUAUCACUUUCAGCAGAAUUCCCCCUUUGUAAGUAAAUGUGUCAAACUGCA